GGUGGCCUAGUGGUUAAAGCGUCCGCCUUGAAUGCAGGAGGUCACGGGUUCGAUCCCUGCCAAGUCA